rnacentral:rRNA from 1 species
AAAACCCAAAGGCGUAAUGAAAGUAAAUAGAGGAAAGUUGUAUAUUUAUUUAUAUAACUUCCACUAAAAGGAGGAUGGAAUGCUUGUCAGUAAUGAUUUAUAUUAUUUAUAUUAUUUAUCUAUUAUUGAUAUAAGUUUUCUCGCACUCCUGGGGCGCUUGUUUCUCGCUUUGCGAGUUAAAGCGCACCUAGAGCGUACACGCUGAUACCCGAAAGAUGGUGAACUAUGCCUGGCCAGGAUGAAGCCAGGGGAAACCCUGGUGGAGGUCCGCAGCGAUUCUGACGUGCAAAUCGAUCGUCGGAGCUGGGUAUAGGGGCGCAAGACCAAUCGAACCAUCUAGUAGCUGGUUCCCUCUGAAGUUUCCCUCAGGAUAGCUUGCGCUCGGUUGAGAAGAGUCUCAUCCGGUAGAGCGAAUGAUUAGAGGCAUUGGGGUCGAAACGACCUCAACCUAUUCUCAAACUCCAAAUAGAUGAGAUCCCCGGCUUUCUUAAAAAUGAAGCUGUGGGACUAGGAUCAGAGUGCCAAGUGGGCCAAUUU